rnacentral:pre_miRNA from 1 species
UUAACUGAAAUUUGUAUGGAGUCGGAACGUGUGCCGCUAGGGGCGCUGUUCCAACUGUAUACAAAAUUGAGUUA